CCUACGAGUGGCAGCAGUGAGGAAUAUUGGUCAAUGGGCGCGAGCCUGAACCAGCCAAGUAGCGUGAAGGAUGACUGCCCUACGGGUUGUAAACUUCUUUUAUAAAGGAAUAAAGUGAGGCAAGUGUGCCUUUUUGUAUGUACUUUAUGAAUAAGGAUCGGCGAACUCCGUGCCAGCAGACGCGGUAAUACGGAGGAUCCGUGCGUUAUCCGGAUUUAUUGGGUUUAAAGGGAGCGUAGAUGGAUUGUUAAGUCAGUUGUGAAAGUUUGCGGCUCAACCGGAAAAUUGCAAUUGAUACUGGCAGUCUUGAGUACAGUUGAGGUAGGCGGAAUUCGUGGUGUAGCGGUGAAAUGCUUAGAUAUCACGAAGAACUCCGAUUGCGAAGGCAGCUUACUAAACUGCCACUGACAUUGAUGCUCGAAAGUGUGGGUAUCAAACAGGAUUAGAUACCCGAGUAGUC
rnacentral:rRNA from 1 species